rnacentral:rRNA from 1 species
UACGGAAGGCAGCAGUGGGGAAUAUUGCACAAUGGGCGCAAGCCUGAUGCAGCCAUGCCGCGUGUAUGAAGAAGGCCUUCGGGUUGUAAAGUACUUUCAGUCGUGAGGAAGGUGUUAAGGUUAAUAACCUUAGCAAUUGACGUUAGCGACAGAAGAAGCACCGGCUAACUCCGUGCCAGCAGCCGCGGUAAUACGGAGGGUGCGAGCGUUAAUCGGAAUUACUGGGCGUAAAGGGCACGCAGGCGGUUAAUUAAGUUGGAUGUGAAAUCCCCGGGCUUAACCUGGGAAUGGCAUUCAAGACUGGUUAGCUAGAGUCUUGUAGAGGGGGUAGAAUUCCAUGUGUAGCGGUGAAAUGCGUAGAGAUGUGGAGGAAUACCGGUGGCGAAGGCGGCCCCUGGGACAAGACUGACGCUCAUGUGCGAAAGCGUGGGGAGCGAAACAGGGAUUAGAUACC